rnacentral:rRNA from 1 species
GGACAGAGUGACAGGUGGUGCAUGGUUGUCGUCAGCUCGUGUCGUGAGAUGUUGGGUUAAGUCCCGCAACGAGCGCAACCCUUGAUCUUAGUUGCCAGCAUUCAGUUGGGCACUCUAAGGUGACUGCCGGUGACAAACCGGAGGAAGGUGGGGAUGACGUCAAAUCAUCAUGCCCCUUAUGACCUGGGCUACACACGUGCUACAAUGGACAGAACAAAGGGCUGCAAGACCGCAAGGUUUAGCCAAUCCCAUAAAUCUGUUCUCAGUUCGGAUCGCAGUCUGCAACUCGACUGCGUGAAGCUGGAAUCGCUAGUAAUCGCGGAUCAGCAUGCCGCGGUGAAUACGUUCCCGGGCCUUGUACACAC